AGGGAGUACUAUAUAUGUCUAUCCUCCGAUUGUUUAAGUUAGUUACACUUUUUUGGUUUUCAUCUAUAACUAAUGUGUACCUCGAGUGAUGUCCCAGGUUGUUAGUUUGAGUACUUCUUACUUAAAUUAACAAUUAUGUUCGACUAUUUGUAUAUUUAGUGUGUGUAGUGAUUCAAGCAUAGCCUUGGAUGUCACUUUUUUUUUUUUUUUUUUUUGACAUCAUAUAUAUUUAUAUUCUAAUAUUGUGAAUAAAUUAUAUUACCUCUAUUUUACUUAAUAUAUGAAGAAAUAUAAUAAAUGAAUUAUAUUACCUCUAUUUUACUUAAUAAAUGAAGAAAUAUAUAGUAUUAUGUGAAACUAGAAACAUUAAUACUCCCUCCCUUUCUUUUUACUCGCAACAAUUACUAAAAAUAGUCGGUAUACAUUACUUGCAACAAACUUAUUUCUUUCCUUUUAUGGUAAGUUUUUUUGUGUGAUUUUAUAACAUUACCCUUACUUUUUUUUUCUAAACACCCUAAUUAAACUACUAAUUUUAACUUAAUAACUUAAACCCUAACAUUAACUAACUUAAUUAUUUUCCCCAAAAUCAUUACUCUCCCAUCUAAAUUCAUUCUCAUCUUCUGUCAAAAAAAAGAAUUCAUUCUCAUCUUGAUUGGGAACCACCACCACCACCACCACCAGUCCACCACCAAUCUCCAUUCUAUGUUCAUCACCUAGAAAUUCACCUCAGUACACCACCGUCGCCGAAAGUUGUUGCCGAUGUCCCUUUUGUUGUGGCCGCCUCCGUUUUCUCUCUCUUCCUCUUCUUGUUGUUUUGUCAUUGCAAUGAAGCACAUAUGUGAAGGUUUUAUGGUUAAAUUUUACCAUGAAAUUUCUAGAUUUGGAGUUUUGAUGGUUAAAUUUGACCAAUUAAAGCUUUAAUUGAUGAUAGAGUUGUGGGUUUCGGAUUUAAUUUGGGGUUAUGGGUUUGGUUCGAGUUCGUGGGUUUUGGGUUUCGGGGUUGUGGGUGGUGGGUUUCGGGGUUUCGGGGUUGUGGGUGGUGGAUCUGGGUUCGUGGGUUGUGGGUGGUGGUUCUGGGUUCUUUGGUUGUUUGGUUGGUGGUUCGAAUUUUCUGGGUUUGUGGGUUGGUUUGGUUGGUGGUUCGAAUUUUCUAGGUUCGUGGGUUGGUGGUUCGAAUUUUGGGUUCGAUUCUGGGUGGUUCGUGUGGUGGGCGGUUUGAUUGCGGGUGGUUCAUGUGGUGGGUCGUUCAGUUAUGGUGUUGCUGGAUGGGGGUACAGUGCUGGGUGGUGGUGCGGCCAUGUGGUGGUGGUGGUAUUGUGGUGCUGCGGCCAGGUGGUGUUGGUGGCAUCGUGGUGUUGGGAGGUGGUUUUUAUUUUGGUUUAAUUAUUUUUUAUUUUUUUAUUGGGUUGGAUUAAUACUAAGUACAUCCACUUAUUUUUUAAUAAUCUCACUUAAGAUAUUUUGUCUAGGAGUCCGCAAACUCCCUCUUUGUUGCGAGUAAAAAGAACGGAGGGAGUAAUAGUUGGUUGAGAUGGUAAAUGUAUUACCUAUAUGUAUUGGAGGUUAUAAGUUCAAAUCUUGUUCGAAUCAUA